UUUUCUCUCUCUUUUCCGCUCCUGCUUCUCUUCUCUUCUCUUUUUUUUGUUCAAUCGAUUAGCCGAGAAACCAUCACAAAAACCUCUCUUGUUUUCUCCAUCAUCUUCAAUAAUCUUUAAUCAUCGAUCUACUUUAGGUUUUGACGUACUGAAGAAUUUAAAGAAUUUCUGCCAACUAAGAAGUGGUGGAAUUAGAAGGCUACAGGAAGAAGAAGAAAAUGGAAGAGGAGAUGGUCAAGAACAAGAAGCUGCCGAGGAAGUCUGUUGUUUGUUGUGAUGAUGGAAGGAUUUAGCUGAAAUGGGUGCUUGUGUGAGCAUUUGCAGUUGAGUUAGAUGGUGAAAUUGCAGAGAUGGUUGCAGAGAGGCAAGAGUUAUAUGGGGAUGAAAAGACUGCGCGUUCAAGGGGUUUUGGGUUUGUCAUUUGAUUUUCUGAUGUAAAAAAUUACUAAUAACAAUUAUCUUUAUUGUUGCAUUAUAAUGAUUGCAGAGGUAAAGACCGAUUACAGAGCCAGAAUCAGUAUUAUUAACUAGGACAAGAGCUACUACGUCCACUUCACCAACAAAUACAUUAUUUGCUCAGAUCAUAACUGCUAUCAUUACCGGUGAUUUGAUAAUGACACCUAUCUAACAAAUAUUAUUUGGUUUCGAUAAGGCUAAAGGACCUGUGUGCCCUGUUAAUGGAAAAAGGAUUCAAGGGGGUAUGCCAAGUGUUCUUGUGUUCAUUGAGGUAAUUAGAGAGUGAGUUCUUGUGUGGAAUCACACGAUGAGUGUGUAUAAUGAAGGUCAGUGCUUGGUUGCGGAGAAAGCUUCGAGGUAACUAUUACUUAUGCUGCCUUACUCUUUAUGAUUGAUUGUUGAGUAUCUGCUGCUUAGUUUGAGUAAUGACUUGGUAGCAUAAUGGGAUACAUGACGAAGCCAGUGAUUUCAUAUACAAGAGAAUUCAUGUUAUCUCUAAGUGAGUUGGAGGUUUGCAAAAAGUUUCAUGUCGGGUUAGACCAGGCUAUCCUACGGCAUUACUACUGUUGCUCUUUGUUUUAUCACUUUCUGUUGCUCUUUGUUUUAUUGCUUAAGUGAACCUUGUCGUAAUGUCGGUACAUACAUAUAUAGAAGCAGGUAGGAAGUAUACAAGGACCUUGUAAGGACGUGGUGGGUGAUAUGGCUCACUGGUCUUACUCUUUCAUAAGUACCAUUGCCUCGACCUUUGGAGCUACUUUCUGUUGCUCUUUGUUUUAUUGCUUAAGUGAACCUUGUCGUAAUGUCGGUCCAUACAUAUAUAGAAGCAGGUAGGAAGUAUAAAAGGACCUUGUAAGGACGUGGUGGGUGAUAUGGCUCAUUGGUAUUACUCUUUGAUAGGUACCAUUGCCUCGACCUUUGGAGCUGAAGCCCCAGUUGUCUAAGGUUACCAGAAGUUUAACCAAUAGCGGAAAACUUGUUCUGCUUUUCUAUCUGAAUUGUUUAUUUUAUUGAUUCUUCAUCAUAUGGUAUGCAAGCAUUAAUACUCACCUCGGCAAGCAGGUACAAAGAAGAGUGUACUCAUCAGUGAAUAAUGCAGGGUUGUGAAUGCAGGCAAGAUUAUGGAUGCAGCUGAAGUUGCCGAAAACAAGCUCUUUCUGCUUCAUCCAAACUGCAACCAAACUGGAUAGCCAUAGUGGGAAGAAAGAAUGUGGGUUACAAUGCUAAUACGUCUCCACAAUGCAGGAAAGAAAGAUAAGAUCCUGUUAUCUUUGUAAGUUUGUAAAUAAUAUGCUUAUAGUGGUUUAUGUUAGAAGAAACUUAAGAACUUGAU